UGAGUACUCCCUCUGUCCGGAAAUAGUUGUCAUCAAAAUAAAUAAAAGCGGAUGUAUCUAGAUGUAUUCUAGUUCUAGAUACAUUUCUUUUUAACCAUUUUGAUGACAAGUAUUUUCGGACGGAGGGAGUAUAAA
rfam:Triticum aestivum genome assembly, contig: Triticum_aestivum_CS42_TGACv1_scaffold_221184_3B